rnacentral:rRNA from 1 species
AGUCAGUCGUGUUCUUUGGAUUCAGCCAGUUCUGCUGGUCUACUUCCUUGGAACGGGUCAACAUCAGUUUUGUCCGGUGGAUAAAGGUAGUAGGAAUGUGACUUCUCCGGAAGUGUUAUAGCCUAUUAUCACAUACACUGGGUGAGACUGAGGACUGCAGCUCGCCUUUAUGGCCGGCCUUCGGGCACGUUCGAGCUUAGGAUGUUGACAUAAUGGCUUUAAACGACCCGUCUUGA